rnacentral:rRNA from 1 species
GACGAACGCUGGCGGCGUGCUUAACACAUGCAAGUCGAACGGAAAGGCCCUGCUUUUGUGGGGUGCUCGAGUGGCGAACGGGUGAGUAACACGUGAGUAACCUGCCCUUGACUUUGGGAUAACUUCAGGAAACUGGGGCUAAUACCGGAUAGGAGCUCCUGCUGCAUGGUGGGGGUUGGAAAGUUUCGGCGGUUGGGGAUGGACUCGCGGCUUAUCAGCUUGUUGGUGGGGUAGUGGCUUACCAAGGCUUUGACGGGUAGCCGGCCUGAGAGGGUGACCGGGCGGGGGGGGAGGGGGUGACGGCGCAGAGUAGUGGGGGGGGGAGGAGGGGGAGAUGUGGCAGGAGGGGCGGGCGGAGGAGGCAGCGGCGCCGGGGGCGGGAUGAAUGCGUGCGGGUAGUACCCCGCGUGAGCCGGGGACGGAGGGUGAGGGUCGGUAGGGGGAAAAGAAGCGCCGGCAAAAUACGUAGCAGCAGCGGCUGUAAUAAGAGGAAGGGAAAACGUCUGAAU